GACGAACGCUGGCGGCGUGCUUAACACAUGCAAGUCGAGCGGAAAGGCCACUUCGGUGGUACUCGAGCGGCGAACGGGUGAGUAACACGUGAGUAAUCUGCCCCUGGCUUUGGGAUAGCCACCGGAAACGGUGAUUAAUACCGGAUACGACCACUUCUCGCAUGGGAUGGUGGUGGAAAGUUUUUUCGGCCAGGGAUGUGCUCGCGGCCUAUCAGCUUGAUGGUGAGGUAAUGGCUCACCAUGGCUUCGACGGGUAGCCGGCCUGAGAGGGUGACCGGUCACACUGGGACUGAGACACGGCCGAGACUGCUACGGGAGGCAGCAGUGGGGAAUAUUGGACAAUGGGCGGAAGCCUGAUCCAGCAACGCCGCGUGAGGGAUGACGGCCUUCGGGUUGUAAACCUCUUUCAGCAGGGACGAAGCGCAAGUGACGGUACCUGCAGAAGAAGCACCGGCCAACUACGUGCCAGCCGCCGCAGUAA
rnacentral:rRNA from 1 species